rnacentral:rRNA from 1 species
GGAACUGCAUUCGAAACUGGCAGGCUAGAGUCUUGUAGAGGGGGGUAGAAUUCCAGGUGUAGCGGUGAAAUGCGUAGAGAUCUGGAGGAAUACCGGUGGCGAAGGCGGCCCCCUGGACAAAGACUGACGCUCAGGUGCGAAAGCGUGGGGAGCAAACAGGAUUAGAUACCCUGGUAGUCCACGCCGUAAACGAUGUCGAUUUGGAGGUUGUGCCCUUGAGGCGUGGCUUCCGGAGCUAACGCGUUAAAUCGACCGCCUGGGGAGUACGGCCGCAAGGUUAAAACUCAAAUGAAUUGACGGGGGCCCGCACAAGCGGUGGAGCAUGUGGUUUAAUUCGAUGCAACGCGAAGAACCUUACCUGGUCUUGACAUCCACAGAACUUUCCAGAGAUGGAUUGGUGCCUUCGGGAACUGUGAGACAGGUGCUGCAUGGCUGUCGUCAG